rnacentral:rRNA from 1 species
GUCGGUUAAAUACCGACCUGCAUGAAUGGCGUAACGAGAUGGGAGCUGUCUCAAAGAGGGAUCCAGUGAAAUUGUAGUGGAGGUGAAAAUUCCUCCUACCCGCGGCAAGACGGAAAGACCCCGUGGACCUUUACUACAGCUUGACACUGCUAUUUGGAUAAGAAUGUGCAGGAUAGGUGGGAGGCUUUGAGUAUAUGACGCCAGUUGUAUAUGAGCCAUUGUUGAGAUACCACUCUUUCUUAUUUGGGUAGCUAACCAGCUUGA